rnacentral:rRNA from 1 species
GGCCAGGGCGGCAGCUACACAUGCAGUCGAGCGGAUGACGGGAGCUUGCUCCUUGAUUCAUCGGCGGACGGGUGAGUAAGGCCUAUGAAUCUGCCUGGUAGUGGGGGACAACGUUUCCUAAGGAACGCUAAUACCGCAAACGUCCUACGGGAGAAAGCAGGGGACCUUCGGGCCUUGCGCUAUCGCAUGAGCCUAGGUCGGAUUAGCUUGUUGGUGAGGUAAUGGCUCACCAAGGCGACGAUCCGUAACUGGUCUGAGAGGAUGAUCAGUCACACUGGAACUGAAACACGGUCCAGACUCCUACGGGAGGCAGCAGUGGGGAAUAUUGGACAAUGGGCGAAAGCCUGAUCCAGCCAUGCCGCGUGUGUGAAGAAGGUCUUCGGAUUGGAAAGCACUUUAAGUUGGGAGGAAGGGCAGUAAGUUAAUACCUUGCUGUUUUGACGUUACCGAGACAAGAAUAACCACCGGCUAAUCUCUGUACCAGUCAGCCGCAAGUAAUACAGAGGGGGUGCAGGUCGUCAAUCGUGAAUUAGACUGGGCGUAAAGCGCGCUGCAAGGGGUGUCGGUAACUCAAAUAAAAUAAUGCCCCGGGCUCCAACCUGGGAACUGCAUCACAAAAUGGCCAGCUAGAGAUACGGUUUUAGAAGGUAGAAUGGAAUAUCCUGUGUAGAGGUCGAAAAAUGAGUAGAUAUAGUGAAGGAACACGCAGUGGCGAAGGCGUAUCCACCUGGACUGAUACUCACACCGUUAGGUGACGAAAGCGUGGGGGAGCAAACAGGAGGUAGAUACCCCUUGGAGUUCGGUCCACGCCGUAAAAGAUAUCAACUAGACCGUAGGAAUCCACGAGGAAAUUAGCCCCCCCAGCUAUAACGCAAUUAAGUAUCCACCCCCUGGGGAGUACGGCCCCAACGUUAAAGACUCAAAAUGAAUUGACGGGGGCCCCCACAAGCCGUGGAGCAUGUGGUCUUAAUUCUGAAUCAACGCGAAAAACCUUCACCAUGCCUUGACAUGCAGAGAACUUUACAGAGAAUGGAUUGGUGCCUCUUGCGAACUCUGUAACACAAGAACAGCAAGGUUUUAGUUAACUCCCCUUCGGAGAAAUUGGGUUAAAUCCCCAAACCGAGGACACCCUUUUCCUUAUUUACCAACACGUUAUGCUGGGCAUUCCAAGGAGACUGCCGGUGACAAACCGGAGGAAGGUGGGGAUGAGGUCAAGUCAUCAUGGCCCUUACGACCUGGGCUACACACGUGCUACAAUGGUCGGUACAGAGGGUUGCCAAGCCGCGAGGUGGAGCUAAUCCAUCAACCGAUAAGUAGUCAGGACAGGGGUCUGCAACUCCGACUCUUUGAAGUGUGAAACGUUAGUAAAAUUGAAUUACAAUGUGAAGGUGAAUACGUUCCCGGCCGUCGGCUCACCGCCCGUCACACCAUGGGAGUGGGUGCACAAGAAGUAGGUAGCUAACCCUCAGGAGACACGCUACUCAAGGGCUGACUACGAUGCAAU